GAUGAACGCUGGCGGCGUGCCUAAUACAUGCAAGUCGAGCGAAUGGAUUAAGAGCUUGCUCUUAUGAAGUUAGCGGCGGACGGGUGAGUAACACGUGGGUAACCUGCCCAUAAGACUGGGAUAACUCCGGGAAACCGGGGCUAAUACCGGAUAACAUUUUGAACCGCAUGGUUCGAAAUUGAAAGGCGGCUUCGGCUGUCAAUUAUGGAUGGACCCGCGUCGCAUUAGCUCGUUGGUGAGGUAACGGCUCACCAAGGCAACGAUGCGUAGCCGACCUGAGAGGGUGAUCGGCCACACUGGGACUGAGACACGGCCCAGACUCCUACGGGAGGCAGCAGUAUGGAAUCUUCCGCAAUGGACGAAAGUCUGACGGAGCAACGCCGCGUGAGUGAUGAAGGCUUUCGGGUCGUAAAACUCUGUUGUUAGGGAAGAACAAGUGCUAGUUGAAUAAGCUGGCACCUUGACGGUACCUAACCAGAAAGCCACGGCUAACUACGUGCCAGCCGCCGCUGUAA
rnacentral:rRNA from 1 species